rnacentral:rRNA from 1 species
UUCUAGAGUACAACUUUAUCCUUUCAUUAGAAUAGAGUAUAAAAGUAGCUUUCUCACAAAGCUAUUAAUUCAAUUGUCCUUGUUUAGAUUUUAAAGAUUGAUAAGCUAAUUUUGGGGAAUUAGCUCAGCUGGGAGAGCGCCUGCUUUGCACGCAGGAGGUCAGCGGUUCGAUCCCGCUAUUCUCCACCAUUAUAAAGGGCCUAUAGCUCAGCUGGUUAGAGUGCACCCCUGAUAAGGGUGAGGUCACAAGUUCAAGUCUUGUUAGGCCCACCAUGAGGUUUGGAUAAAGUUUAAUCGAGGUUUUAUGUGAAUAAUUUUCUUAUUUCUCCUAUAAAUAAUGUUGAUAUGCAAAUUGAUUUAAAAACGAAGCAAAACAAGAUUUCCAAUUCUUAUUUGGAGUACGAAGAUGAUUUACAUUUGCCGCAUAGACAUAGGAUAGAUUAUGUCAAAAAUUCAUCGAUUUAGAUUUUGACUUUUCGCAGCUUCAUAUUGAUAAAAAUAUUCUUAAGCAUUUAACCACAAUGAGGGCAAAUAAAAAGCGUUUAAUUUCUCAAUAUUUUAUCAAUUCAAAUCAUAAUCAAAAUUUAGCUCUUAUUAACAACGAUGCUUUCGAUUGUAGAGAGGAAAAUCAUAUUGGCCUUUUGGUUAUAUCGGCUUUGAGCGGAGAUUAUAUUUUAUCCAAGAAGCGGAUUUUGAAAAGGUGCGAUUUUUACUUGGAAUUUGAUGAUGACUCCGUUAUUUAAGGGCUUUUUGCUUUCUUUAUCUCUUAUUGUAGCCAUAGGGGCGCAAAAUGUUUUUAUUUUAAGACAGGCUUUAACAAACCAUUACAUUUUCAUCGUUUGUUUGCUUUGUUUUUUAUGUGUGUGGGUAUUUUUAGUGUUGGGGAAAUUUUU